rnacentral:rRNA from 1 species
UACGUAGGGGCAAGCGUUGUCCGGAAUCAUUGGGCGUAAAGAGCGCGUAGGCGGUCCGGUAAGUCCGCUCUGAAAGUCCGGGGCUCAACCCCGGGAGGCGGGCGGAUACUGUCGGGCUAGAGUCCGGAAGAGGCGAGUGGAAUUCCUGGUGUAGCGGUGAAAUGCGCAGAUAUCAGGAGGAACACCGAUGGCGAAGGCAGGUCACUGGGCCGCGAACUGACGCUGAGGAGCGAAAGCGUGGGAGCGAACAGG